rnacentral:tRNA from 1 species
GGAGGGCUGCCGGAGCGGCCGAACGGACCCGUCCUGAAAACGGGAGGGCCAGCGCGCCCCGAGGGUUCGAAUCCCUCGCCCUCCG